rnacentral:lncRNA from 1 species
GUCUGAAUGGGGUUCAUCAUCUAAGUCUCGUUGACAUCCAGCAGAAGUAAUUGAAAAGCAGACAUAAUUGCAUUCAAUGGAUUUUCAAUUAAAAUUCAAUGUGGGAUGUAUCAAUUCGACUAAUGGCAUACUGUUACCCAGCUCCACUGCCAAUAUUCGAUAUAUGCGCUGUAUAUAUCCUGUUUAAGCUGGCUUUUGGUAGACAUCCAAUUUUGUUUUGUCAACUUCACUUUGGCCUAAUAACAAUAUCGAGUCAUACAUGUGCAUGUUUGGGAUGAAAGAAUCAAAUCAAAGUUGACCAGAGAC